rnacentral:lncRNA from 1 species
CUGUUUCACACAUGACUCUCUUUGCGAUCGCGAGCGCGCGCUUGCGAACCAGGAAUUUAGUAUGAUGCUGCAUGCUCUAGCUCUUGGAAUUUACUGGGAAUGUUUGCCUAUCGUCUUAUCGAUAAUAAAAGUUUCAGUUUCGAAGGUGGACUGGAAUGCUUACAACAACAGUAGCUGUUGCUCAGCAAGACAGGUUGUUGAGCAAACUGUAAAUCCUAGAAUUUCUACUGAAAGCUGUCUUUGUGAUGACCAACCUAUACAGUCAUGGGACCAGAAGAAACUACCAAGCUGGAUAGCUGCCUGUAUCUGCACACAAUUGAGCAAGCCUGUUGUGGAAGCUUGUUUCUUGGCUGUGCUGCAUGGUCAAUAAUGACACGGCAGAGAUGGAGAUGUAAUGAUCGUACGGGAGUCUGUACCUGGCUGGAAUGGACAAGAUUCUGAGAAUGUUUUAUGAGACCCGGAUGGCUGGUAUUCAGUGCAAAUGACAUGAGUGACAACCCUGCCAUGUUAAAUGUGCCACCAACUCCAACAAGUUUUAAGGGAAAAGCAGGUCCAAGCCAGUGUGUCACACAAAACUUACUGAUCUGAAGACAUGCAAGAGACUGCUGAAUCGACCGAAGAUAGAAAAAAGUGACAAAACAGAAACAGACAUGCCAGGCAGAUCCUGACAAAUUCCUGUUUCUGUCAGCAAGGAUCUAGGUCGACUUGCCGACAAUGAGAUGUGCGACUGUGAGCCCUGCUUGUGCACUCAAUGAGAAGUAAAGGGCAGGAUGGUCCACCUACAGGAAUUCGCUAAUCUAUCACAGAGAGAUCUAAGAGAUGUGAGUAAACCAGACGAGGCAAGCCUAGCAAAGCUGGUCCCAGAGUGCAGCUCGUUUCUGUUCACAGGACGUCUAUUCGUGCAUCUGGUCCACACAAUAGGCAGGAUGUAGCCCAGUCAUUGGUGUUACAGCGUAAUCCUAUACAAUAGCACUGCCCAGCUCAUGAGUAACAGGCAGUUAGUUAAUGAGAUAGGUAUAAAGAGAAUGGCCCUCUGGGACCAGCAAAAGCUGGCAAAUCUCUAAGCUUCAAUAUGGACUCCGUGCAUGAACAGUACAUGGCGUUUUCUGACCAAAAAGGUCAAUGGAAUGAACAAAUUGAGUGCAUGCACAUCCUGCAAAUCGCAGUGCCCAUCGCAUGGCCACCACCCUCCCCCACCCAAGAAAACCCUCUGAAAUUUGCUGCUUGCCGAAGAAGUGUCAUUUUACAAUAUUCAUUUUUUCGUAGUACUAACUUGUUAACAGAAGAGAAAUGUACGAUGUAGAUGACAAUUUUGUACUAAAGUUUAAUCCCUUUUAAUCCAAUAAGCCUAUGGAUUUGUGAAUUGUGAAUAGAUUUGUAAGAAAAAUAGUAUCCUCUAUCAUCAAUAAAGAUUAUAAUGAUGUCAAAUGAAUAUGUACAUGUCAGAAAGAGUGUUUUGUGUCGAGUACCGGUAGUCCUUGCAAUAAGGCAAGCCACUGCACUGAUGCAGUGUGUCUCCGCUAAGAAAAACUCAAAAGCAGUCAUGAAAUGUCAUUCCUGUUCAUGCACAGAGUUAUUAACCAAUUUUACUGUUCUUAAAUUUGCAUGGAAAUAUUUGGCUUAAAAUGUUAAUGUAACACAAUAAUUGAUGUCUCCAUGUUGUUGCUUUUGUUAGCACAUUCGUGCAAGAUGAAGUACAUUGUACCCUGUAUGGGAACAGAAUUUGUUUGCUGUAAAAAUGAGUAUAAAAAGGUUAAAAAAAAGUACAACACCAAGACAAGAAAAAAGUGUUUCCCACAUGUGCUUUUACAUCAAAAUGGAGAUGGUUGGGAAAUUUGGGUUUUUUGUGCUAUUUUUGAUAUCUCCCUCAAAAUAAGCUGGGAUGAUUUUUACCAUUGGUCAUUGCCUUUGGCGUUUGUCCGUCCGUCGAUCCGGGCAGCUUAAUUUCUGGAUGAUAACUCAUGUGAGAAAUGCUGUUUGAGAUUGAAACUAAGGAUUGGGUAGGAAGUUGCCCUUGAGAGUAGGCAAAUUAGGAUUGGUUUUUUGGGUCAAAGGUCAAAGGUCAAUGUCAUCAUUGAGAGUUAAAAGUUAAUGGUUUUUUGAAUGAUAACUUGAGAUAGAAACGAGAUUUUGGUGUCUAACUUUGGUAGGAAGUUGCCCUAGGGAGUAGGCAAAUUGUGAGUGGUUUUCGGGUCAAAAAGUCAAAGGUCAAGGUCACCAUUGAGAGUUAAAAGUUAAUGCUUUCUGGAUGAUAACUUGAGAUACAAACAAGAUUUUGGUGUGUGACUUUAGUAGGAAGUUGCCCUAGGGAGUAGGCAAAUUGGGAUUAGUUUUUGGGUCAAAAGGUCAAAGAUCAAAGUCACUAUUGAGAGUUAAAAGUUAAUGCUUUCUGGAUGAUAACUUGAGAUAGAAACAAGAUUUUGGUGUGUGACUUUGGUAGGAAGUUGCCCUAGGGAGUAGGCAAAUUGGGAUUAGUUUUUGGGUCAAAAGGUCAAAGGUCAAAGUCACUAUUGAGAGGUUAAAGUUAAUGGUUUCUGGAUAAUAACUUGAAUAGAAACAAGAUUUUGGUGUCUAACUUUGGUAGGGGCUUUCCCUUGGGUACAGGCAAGUUGGGAAUGGUUUUGGGGUCAAAAGGUCAAGGUCAUCGUGGUGAGUUAAAGGUGAAUAGUUUCCGGAUGAUAACUGGGGCUAGAAUUGAGAUUAAAUUGGUGUCUAACUUUUUUAGGAAGUUACCCUUGUAGGCAAAUUGGGAUUGGUUUUAGGUCAAAAUGUCAAAGGUCAAGGUCAUUGUGGUGAGUUUACGGUUGAUGGUUUCCGGAUGAUGACUUGAAUUAGAAAUGACAUUUGGGUGUCUAAAUUCAGUGUGGGCUGCCCUUGGGUACAGGCAAGUUGGGAAUGGUUUUGGGAUCAAAGGUCACGGUCACAGUGGUGAGUUCAAGGUUUAUGGUUUCCAGAUGAUAACUUAGCUGAGGGGUUUAGCAUUGCUGUUAUUAUUAUUUUUUUGCAUGUGUUUAGUUUUCAUAACAAUUUCGAUAUUUUUUCCCCCCUAAUUAGUUUUUGGGGGAUUUUUGCAUGUGUUCAGUUUUCAUAACAAGUGUGAUUGGGCUAAUUUUGCAUUGCCUUAUUCAUUUGAACUUGUUUCAUUUAAAACUUAAA